CCCUUAGAUGUUCUGGGCCGCACGCGCGCUACACUGAUUCAUGCAACAAGUUUUGUCCUUGGCUGAUAGGCCUGGGUAAUCUUUGAACGUGAAUCGUGAUGGGGAUAGAUGAUUGCAAUUAUUCAUCUUCAACGAGGAAUUCCUAGUAAACGCAAGUCAUCAGCUUGCAUUGAUUACGUCCCUGCCCUUUGUACACACCGCCCGUCGCACCUACCGAUUGAAUGGUCCGGCGAAAUCUUCGGAUCUGAGAGAUGUCUGAUUAAUUUCGGACGCCUUUUGGAAAAGUUGCUUAAACCUUACCAUUUAGAGGAAGGUGAAGUCGUAACA
rnacentral:rRNA from 1 species